rnacentral:rRNA from 1 species
AUGACGCAUCGCACGCGCGGGUCUAUAAAGCGACACUCAGGUGGUACUCCCUACAUAGUAGCUCCUUUAGUCCGAGAUAAAUCCGUGUAUGUGUAUUCGAGAGGCCUGCGCAAGGCGGAGCUGAAGGCCAAGUUCGUGGAGCUGCACGAGAUAACCGAGGCCAAGUCGGCAGCUUUCUUGGUCCCACUGAACAAUCUAGGUGCUGGUCGAACUGGCCGGCUCGGCAACCACGGCCGCGGCUACCGUGAGUCGCUGGAGCCGGGGAAGGAGGGAGGAGCACUAGGGAAAAUCACCUUGGGCGAUGUCCCGGAGGUACCGCCGAAUUUGAGUGCGGACCGCGACGUACAGAGCCUUCUUUCUAUUUCAAAAGUGUUGCAUUAG